rnacentral:rRNA from 1 species
GACGAACGCUGGCGGCGUGCCUAAUACAUGCAAGUUGAGCGCUGAAGGUUGGUACUUGUACCAACUGGAUGAGCAGCGAACGGGUGAGUAACGCGUGGGGAAUCUGCCUUUGAGCGGGGGACAACAUUUGGAAACGAAUGCUAAUACCGCAUAAAAACUUUAAACACAAGUUUUAAGUUUGAAAGAUGCAAUUGCAUCACUCAAAGAUGAUCCCGCGUUGUAUUAGCUAGUUGGUGAGGUAAAGGCUCACCAAGGCGAUGAUACAUAGCCGACCUGAGAGGGUGGUCGGCCACAUUGGGACUGAGAAACGGCCCAAACUCCUACGGGAGGCAGCAGUAGGGAAUCUUCGGCAAUGGACGAAAGUCUGACCGAGCAACGCCGCGUGAGUGAAGAAGGUUUUCGGAUCGUAAAACUCUGUUGGUAGAGAAGAACGUUGGUGAGAGUGGAAAGCUCAUCAAGUGACGGUAACUACACAGAAAGGGACGGCUAACUACGUG